UACCAGCACCCCCGAGUGGUCGGGACGUUUAUUGGGCCUAAAGCAUCCGUAGCCGGUUCUACAAGUCUUCCGUUAAAUCCAGCUGCUUAACAGAUGGGCUGCGGAAGAUACUAUGGAGCUAGGAGGCGGGAGAGGCAAGCGGUACUCGAUGGGUAGGGGUAAAAAUCCGUUGAUCCAUUGAAGACCACCAGUGGCGAAGGCGGCUUGCCAGAACGCGCUCGACGGUGAGGGAUGAAAGCUGGGGGGAGCAAACCGG
rnacentral:rRNA from 1 species